AGUGAACGCUGGCGGUAGGCCUAACACAUGCAAGUCGAACGGCAGCACAGUAAGAGCUUGCUCUUACGGGUGGCGAGUGGCGGACGGGUGAGGAAUACAUCGGAAUCUACUUUUUCGUGGGGGAUAACGUAGGGAAACUUACGCUAAUACCGCAUACGACCUACGGGUGAAAGCAGGGGAUCUUCGGACCUUGCGCGAUUGAAUGAGCCGAUGUCGGAUUAGCUAGUUGGCGGGGUAAAGGCCCACCAAGGCGACGAUCCGUAGCUGGUCUGAGAGGAUGAUCAGCCACACUGGAACUGAGACACGGUCCAGACUCCUACGGGACGCAGCAGUGGGGAAUAUUGGACAAUGGGCGCAAGCCUGAUCCAGCCAUACCGCGUGGGUGAAGAAGGCCUUCGGGUUGUAAAGCCCUUUUGUUGGGAAAGAAAAGCAGUAGGUUAAUACCCCGCUGUUCUGACGGUACCCACAGAAUAAGCACCGGCUAACUUCGUG
rnacentral:rRNA from 1 species